AAUGAACGCUGGCGGCAGGCCUAACACAUGCAAGUCGAACGAGGCAGCAAUGCCUAGUGGCGGACGGGUGAGUAACGCGUGGGAACGUGCCCCUUGGUACGGAAUGGCCCUGGGAAACUGGGAGUAAUACCGUAUGUGGUCGAGAGACGAAAGAUUUAUCGCCAAGGGAUCGGCCCGCGUUGGAUUGGGUAGUUGGUGGGGUAAUGGCCUACCAAGCCGACGAUCCAUAGCUGGUUUGAGAGGAUGAUCAGCCACACUGGGACUGAGACACGGCCCAGACUCCUACGGGAGGCAGCAGUGGGGAAUCUUAGACAAUGGGGGAAACCCUGAUCUAGCCAUGCCGCGUGAUCGAUGAAGGCCUUAGGGUUGUAAAGAUCUUUCAGUGGGGAAGAUAAUGACGGUACCCACAGAAGAAGCCCCGGCUAACUCCGUGCCAGCCGCCGCGGUAA
rnacentral:rRNA from 1 species